rnacentral:rRNA from 1 species
CCUACGGGAGGCAGCAGUGGGGAAUAUUGCACAAUGGGGGAAACCCUGAUGCAGCGACGCCGCGUGAGUGAAGAAGUAAUUCGUUACGUAAAGCUCUAUCAGCAGGGAAGAAACACUGACCUUACGGUCAGCAGACGGUACCUGAGUAAGAAGCCCCGGCUAACUACGGGCCAGCAGCCGCGGGAAUACGUAGGGGGCAAGCGUUAUCCGGAUUUACUGGGUGUAAAGGGAGCGUAGACGGUGCGCCAAGUCUGGAGUUAAAUGCCGCGGCUUAACUGCGGAACUGCUUUGGAAACGGGCGAACUAGAGUGCGGGAGGGGUAUGCGGAAUUCCUGGUGUAGCGGGGAAAUGCGUAGAUAUUAGGAGGAACCCCGGUGGCGAAGGCGGCUUACUGGACCGUAACUGACGUUGAGGCUCGAAAGCGUGGGGAGCAAACAGGAUUAGAUACCCUUGUAGUC